rnacentral:rRNA from 1 species
UACGUAGGGGGCAAGCGUUGUCCGGAAUCAUUGGGCGUAAAGAGCGUGUAGGCGGCUUGUUAAGUCUUGCGUGAAAUCUCGGGGCUCAACCCCGAGCGGUCGUGAGAAACUGGCAGGCUAGAGUGCGGGAGAGGAGAGUGGAAUUCCUGGUGUAGCGGUGAAAUGCGCAGAUAUCAGGAGGAACACCGGUGGCGAAGGCGGUUCUCUGGGCAUUACCUGACGCUGAGGAGCGAAAGUGUGGGGAGCGAACAGG